AGCAGCCGCGGUAAUUCCAGCUCCAAUAGCGUAUAUUAAAGUUGUUGCAGUUAAAAAGCUCGUAGUUGAAUUUCGGGAUCAAUACGUCGGUCGUACCUCGGUACGUACUAACGUCAUUGAUUUCUCCCUUCUGAUGAACCAUGAUGCCAUUAAUUUGGUGUUAUGGGAAAUCAGGACUGUUACUUUGAAAAAAUUAGAGUGUUUAAAGCAGGCUCACGCUUGAAUACAUUAGCAUGGAAUAAUGAAAUAGGACGUUCGAUCCUAUUUUGUUGGUUUUAGGAUCAACGUAAUGAUUAAUAGGGAUAGUUGGGGGCAUUAGUAUUCAAUUGUCAGAGGUGAAAUUCUUGGAUUUAUUGAAGACUAACUACUGCGAAAGCAUUUGCCAAGGAUGUUUUCAUUAAUCAAGAACGAAAGUUAGGGGAGUACGAAGACGAUCAGAUACCGUCGUAGUCUUAACCAUAAACUAUGCCGACUAGGGAUCGGAUGAAUGUUAAAUUUAUUUAAUUGACUCACUUCGGCG
rnacentral:rRNA from 1 species